rnacentral:rRNA from 1 species
UACGGGGGGGGCAAGCGUUGUUCGGAAUUACUGGGCGUAAAGGGCUCGUAGGUGGCCAACUAAGUCAGACGUGAAAUCCCUCGGCUUAACCGGGGAACUGCGUCUGAUACUGGAUGGCUUGAGUUCGGGAGAGGGAUGCGGAAUUCCAGGUGUAGCGGUGAAAUGCGUAGAUAUUUGGAGGAACACCGGUGGCGAAGGCGGCAUCCUGGACCGAUACUGACACUGAGGAGCGAAAGCCAGGGGAGCAAACGGG